rnacentral:rRNA from 1 species
AUGGAUGCACUCGAGGUGCGCUACGGCCACUACGUGCUUCUGGCGACGGCUGUCGGAUAUGGUGAGGAGAAAGUGACGCCAGUAGCUCUGCUGGCGACCUUGGAGAAGCGUUGCGGCGUGCUGCCAUCGGAGGUGGUCAUUGAGGUCGCAUGCCCACCACACGACUUGUGGCUGACCUUCUCGAUGGAGGAGAAGUGCACUGAUGUGCUCUUCUCGUCGAUGAAGAUCAAGUGUUGCCGACGCUGGUUGCAGUUUUCACGCUGGAGCAAAAUGGUUCGCGCCCAGCCGGGGGCUCUGGAGUACAAGAGCAAGCUCAGCUUUGAUGGCCUCCCGAACCAGCCCGGACAACGGCUUCGGUGCAAGAAGUUCUGA